rnacentral:lncRNA from 1 species
CGAGAGUCAAAAGUUGUGUUUAGCGAUAUUAUGCUUGUUUUGCAUUGUUUUGUAGCAUUUUUUAUGAAAGUGAAGAAUGGAAUUGAAGAUGAAGGUCUUAGACUCAAGAAAGACGAAGAAAAAUGAGAAAAGAAGAGUCUAGGAACCGUCAGCGCCAAAAUCCACUGCUGGGCGGCCAAAUAAAAGGAGAAGCCACUGUCUGGCACCCAGGCGACGACGUUAGGUGGUUUUGCGACAAGGGGCAAACCGCCGGGCGGUGGAACUCACCGUCGGGCGGUAGCGCGACUAUGGACAAACCAUCGAGCGGUAUAAGUGUGAUGCCGGACGGUUGUCUGCUCGGCUUGGGCCUUUUUUAUGUGACGCUCCUCAACUAUAAAUAACCUUAUUGCGACUUCAAAAUCAUUCUUUUGACAAAAGAGGGCGGCCAGACCUAAUUUUCACUCCUUGGAGAAGAUCUCUUGGAUGCUUAGGCUCCUUUUUAUCCUAUCUAGGGUUUGUUCUUCCAUUCUUCCAUCAUUUUUCAUCUAGUUUCACCAUGACAAUGGUGAACUAAACCCUUUUGUUGUUGGGGGAAACAAUGUAAUCUUUGGAAACUAUCUUUUAUUGAAACUCUUGUUAUUUAUAUGCUUGUCGUAUGCUUU